AUGCUUACCUGGCGUAGGGGUUACCGUGAUCGCGAAGGCGGUUCUCCCAAGAUGAGGCAUUUGCAUUUCACUAAUGUCGGGCUGACUCCUGCAAAUGCCCCAAAUGUGGGUAUCUCGAAUGCGUAAAUUUUUGUAGUGGAGCCGACGGUCGCGCCGUCCCUAA